GACGGAGGAUGCAAGUGUUAUCCGGAAUCACUGGGCGUAAAGCGUCUGUAGGUGGUUCGAAAAGUCCACUGUUAAAAAUUGAGGCUUAACUUCAAAGAUGCCGUGGAAACUUUCAAACUAGAGUAUGGUAGGGGUAGAGGGAAUUUCCAGUGGAGCGGUGAAAUGCGUAGAUAUCAGGAAGAACACCGGUGGCGAAGGCGGCUCACUGGCUCGUAUCUGACGCUCAGGCGCGACAGCGUGGGGAUCAAACAGG
rnacentral:rRNA from 1 species